rnacentral:lncRNA from 1 species
GUUUGGAAAGGAACGGUUGUUGCCUAGGUUGCAUUUGUCAACAUAAACGAGAAGAAUAAACGAGUAAAUGCAGAAGGUUUAAACCGUAAAAAAAUGUAUAAUGUACAAGUAUGAUGCUUUCUUACAGGAAUAUAUACAAAAAACACAGCCAAAAUUAUUACAAGCAGAUCCGACCCAAAGGCUAACUUUGCUAGUGGAUAGAAUAGUCAAACACCACCAGUCCCCAGAGAUGUGGAAACACUGAAAAAUCCCUGCACUAGCUUGUCCUAGGUUGUUUGCAUAUGUGAAGACUCAUAAAGAUCCAGUGACACCUAGACCAAUCAUGGAAAAGAGGAACACACCAACUUACAACUUAGAGAAGGCAUCUCAAAGUGUUGCACCUUUAUCUUAGGACAAAAUAAUUAUUCAAUAACUGCUACAACAGAAGCCCUGACUAGGCUGAAAAUAAUCAAAUGGCAACGAGAUGAUACUAUUAUAACAUUUGAUUUUGAAAGCCUGUAUUCAUGAUUGAAGCUCGAGCCAACUUGUAAAGAUUUUUACAGAUUUCUCAUGGACAACAUGCCAGAGACAAACAAUAAAACCACACUGUUAAGAGAAAUAGCAUAUCUCAUCUGCCACGAGUCCUUUUUUUUUUAAGUUCAAGGGGCAGUUUUAUCAACAAACAACAGGCAGCCCAAUGGCAGGAUCGUUGGCCGUUGUCCUGAGGAGUUUGGAACCACAAAUACUCACCUGCUUUCAACCAGACAUCACAUUUUAUAUGAGGUGUGUGGAUGAUAUAUUAACAGUUUGGCAGAAUAACACCAACAUAGAAAAAUUCAGAGCAGUGUUUACUUUACCAGUAUAUGGGCUGAUUCUCAAAAAAGACCAGGUAAGUAGCUGUAAUGUCCACUUCCUGGAUAGUGUGUUGAAAGUGGACAACCUGAGACUAAAGAAGCUGUUAUAGGUUAAACCUACUUAGCCAAUUUUAAUACCUAGCUGGUCACCAAACCUGGCAUCAUAUAAAAGGAUGUGUUUAGAUCAUUUUUUAGAAGAGCACUGCUUUAUUGCACUGAACAGCAAGAUAAAGAAAAAGAACUUAAGUUUAUAUAUGAAACUGGCAAUCAGCAUGGCUAUAGAACGCAUUUCCUAAGAAACAUCUACUUUGAAGUAAAAAAGACAUUGCAGGGAUAAUAUCAAAAUACCACUAGCGUAAAUAUGGAUCAUCCACUGAAACAAGAUUUUUUACUGGUACUAUAUACAUUCGGCAACCUAAGAUUUAUGAAAGAUGUAGCAAGAAUAACAAGAAGAAAAUUAGCAUACUGUAGGAUGCCAAAUAUAUUCAAUAGACUGAGAAAUGAGAAAAAUCAAAGAGAGGACAUGGAGAAGUCUGGCAUUUAUAGAAUACCACUCGAAUACCAAGAUACCUGUCAACUGGCAGUGUACAUAGAUAUGACAACUAGGACCUUAGGACUGAGAAUUAGGGAACAUAAGAGAUUUAGCCAAGACAAACCUGAACACAGCUUUACAACUGAAGCAUAUGGCAUGAACUUUCAAGAGAUUGGCAUAAUGCUAAGAUUGUAAAGCCCAUUGUCAAUGAAGCAUAAGCCUUAAUAAUGGAAACAAUAGAAAUAACUAGGAGACAGGAAACUGAGAAGCUUGUGAAUGAUAAACCAGCAAUUGACCUGCCACUGGCAUAGAAGUAUAUGAUGAAAAUUAUGAAGUAAUAAGAAAUUAGUAAUUACAAGCCUAUGAAGGAGUCCGCAAUAUACUACAGCAUGAAAUUUUAGCACUGUUAACACCAAGAUGCUGCAAUGCAUACUUUUUAGACUAUUUAUAUGUUGUGUGUCUUAUUUCCCUUUUGUUUAUACAUUAUAUGUUUUUUUAUGCUUUAUGUUUUCUGUAUUUACUCG